ACCAGCGGUGAUAGCACGUUGAAUGCACCAGUUCCCCACGAAUCACUGCAGUUAAGCAACGUUGGGAGUGGUUAGUAAAUAGAUGGGUGACCGUUAGCAGUGUACGAAGAGAUGAGA
rnacentral:rRNA from 1 species